UUUAUUUCAAUUAUUAUAAUUAUUAAUAUUGUAAGUGGACAACUCACUCAUGUGGAGAAAAAAAAAGAUUAACUCCCCAUAAAAACCUAUUCUUACCGGACAUUGUGGAGUGAAACUCUCUCUCCAUCAUAAUGAUUUGUUCCACAAAUUAAGCCUUUUCUUUAACUGCUCAGAAAAAAAACUCUCCCUUAGAACCUCAUUU
rnacentral:lncRNA from 1 species